AUUUACCACGCACAUUCAAGAAAUAAUUGAUGCAAGUACUUAGGUUAAGCUGUUGUGGAUGGUUGUGUAGGUGAAAGUGGUGAAAAAAUAGUUUCCAAGAUAAAGCGAGACUUGCUUCCUACAAUGUUAAAUGGCGUGAUGUACUGGCCCUUUUGUGACUUCAUCACUUUCAGGUUUGUCCCAGUUCAUUUGCAGCCGCUGGUGAGCAAUUCGUUUUCGUAUUUAUGGACUGUCUAUAUGACAUACAUGGCAAGUCUAGAGAAACCAGUUUCGGUUACCUGCUGAUUGAUCUGCUACUGUUGAUUCCCUUGCAUUCAAGACUCGGCUUUCUAAGAUGG